CUGACCUGGGCCCACUGUCUGGCACUCCCUAGUGAGAUGGACCCGGUACCUCAGAUGGAAAUGCAGAAAUCACCCGUCUUCUGCGUCGCUCCGAAAGAGUGGACCAGGAGGAGUUUUCAGAGGAGUCUGUGAUAGGCGCUUUGUGACUCCAGGACACGUUGAGCUGUGUGUAGAAGAAGCCAUUGUAACUCAGCUUGUUAAUUCCAUCACCUGCAUGAUGUCUUGCUGAAGUAUACGUGAUUGAUGAAACCAAUGGUACAUCUGGAACACUGGCUGAAAUGAAGAAUGGAAAAUGUUAGCUUUCCAGGCCUCCUCAGGCCAGGAAGGCAUACUGGAGAGAUACGGCAGCAGAGUCACACAAGCAAGGCAGCUGGAUUUGUGACAAUGAGAGAAGCGCGGGGUCAAAGAACAUAGAGUGUUUUGAGAACAGUGUCUCCAGAUGAGAGGGAAGAGAACUGGUAAGGGAUGAGAAUGGUGAUGUCACAGGGCCACAUUAGGGGCUAAAGAGCUUCAUAUUGCUCUAGAAUGCAAUGGAAGCCACUGAAGAACUUUGAGAGGGGGUGGAGAGGUGUGGCAUGUUUCAGAUUUGUUGGAAAGAUCCUGCUUUUACAUUUUGCAUAUGCAGUACCACUUCUACCUUCCAUGCCCCACCUCCUCAGUUCUAUUUCGCAUUAUUAUCUAAAUAGAAACCUUCUGGAGAAGACAGAAAAGGCAUUUGCCCUGAAUCUGUUUCUUCGGAUAUAAUAUCC
rnacentral:lncRNA from 1 species